GGGUUGUGAGGUUAAGCGACUAAGCGUACACGGUGGAUGCCCUGGCAGUCAGAGGCGAUGAAGGACGUGCUAAUCUGCGAUAAGCGUCGGUAAGGUGAUAUGAACCGUUAUAACCGGCGAUUUCCGAAUGGGGAAACCCAGUGUGAUUCGWCACACUAUCAUUAACUGAAUCCAUAGGUUAAUGAGGCGAACCGGGGGAACUGAAACAUCUAAGUACCCCGAGGAAAAGAAAUCAACCGAGAUUCCCCCAGUAGCGGCGAGCGAACGGGGAGCAGCCCAGAGCCUGAAUCAGUGUGUGUGUUAGUGGAAGCGUCAGGAAAGGCGCGCGAUA
rnacentral:rRNA from 1 species